rnacentral:rRNA from 1 species
UACAAAGGGGGCUAGCGUUGUUCGGAAUUACUGGGCGUAAAGCGCACGUAGGCGGAUACUUAAGUCAGGGGUGAAAUCCUGGAGCUCAACUCCAGAACUGCCUUUGAUACUGAGGAUCUUGAGUCCGGGAGAGGUGAGUGGAACUGCGAGUGUAGAGGUGAAAUUCGUAGAUAUUCGCAAGAACACCAGUGGCGAAGGCGGCUCACUGGCCCGGUACUGACGCUGAGGCACGAAAGCGUGGGGAGCAAACAGG